AGUGAACGCUGGCGAUAGGCCUAACACAUGCAAGUCGAACGGCAGCACAGUAAGAGCUUGCUCUUACGGGUGGCGAGUGGCGGACGGGUGAGGAAUACAUCGGAAUCUACUUUUUCGUGGGGGAUAACGUAGGUAAACUUACGCUAAUACCGCAUACGACCUACGGGUGAAAGCAGGGGAUCUUCUGACCUUGCGCGAUUGAAUGAGCCGAUGUCGGAUUAGCUAGUUGGCGGGGUAAAGGCCCACCAAGGCGACGAUCCGUAGCUGGUCUGAGAGGAUGAUCAGCCACACUGGAACUGAGACACGGUCCAGACUCCUACGGGAGGCAGCAGUGGGGAAUAUUGGACAAUGGGCGCAAGCCUGAUCCAGCCAUACCGCGUGGGUGAAGAAGGCCUUCGGGUUGUAAAGACCUUUUGUUGGGAAAGAAAAGCAGCAGGUUAAUACCCCGCUGUUCUGACGGUACCCAAAGAAUAAGCACCGGCUAACUUCGUG
rnacentral:rRNA from 1 species